rnacentral:rRNA from 1 species
UACGUAGGGGGCAAGCGUUGUCCGGAAUCAUUGGGCGUAAAGAGCGUGUAGGCGGCUCGGUAAGUCCGCUGUAAAAGUCCAGGGCUCAACCCUGGAAAGCCGGUGGAAACUGUCGAGCUAGAGUCCGGAAGAGGCGAGUGGAAUUCCUGGUGCAGCGGUGAAAUGCGCAGAUAUCAGGAGGAACACCGGUGGCGAAGGCGGGUCUCUGGGCCGAUGACUGACACUGAGGAGCGAAAGCGUUGGGGAGCGAACAGG